AACGAACGCUGGCGGCAUGCCUAACACAUGCAAGUCGAACGACACCUUCGGGUCUAGUGGCGCAUGGGUGCGUAACGCGUGGGAACCUGCCCUUAGGUUCGGAAUAACUCUCCGAAAGGGGUGCUAAUAUCGGAUAAUGUCUUCGGAUCAAAGAUUUAUCGUCCUUGGGUGGGCCCGCGUUGGAUUAGCUUGUGGGUAGGGUAAAAGCCUACCAAGGCGACGAUCCAUAGCUGGUCUGAGAGGAUGAUCAGCCACACUGGGACUGUGACACGGCCCAGACUCCUACGGGAGGCAGCAGUGGGGAAUAUUGGACAAUGGGCGAAAGCCUGAUCCAGCAAUGCCGCGUGAGUGAUGAAGGCCUUAGGGUUGUAAAGCUCUUUUACCCGGGAUGAUAAUGACAGUACCGGGAGAAUAAGCUCCGGCUAACUCCGUG
rnacentral:rRNA from 1 species